CAAUAGCGUAUAUUUAAGUUGUUGCAGUUAAAAAGCUCGAAGUUGGAUUUCGGAUGGGACUUGCCGGUCCGUCGUUUCGAUGUGCACUGGCCAGUCCUAUCUUGUUGUCGGGGACUAGCUCCUGGGCUUCACUGUCCGGGACUAGGAGCUGACGAGGUUACUUUGAGUAAAUUAGAGUGUUCAAAGCAAGCCUACGCUCUGAAUACAUUAGCAUGGAAUAACACGAUAGGACUCUGGCUUAUCUUGUUGGUCUGUGAGACCAGAGUAAUGAUUAAGAGGGACAGUCGGGGGCAUUCGUAUUUCAUUGUCAGAGGUGAAAUUCUUGGAUUUAUGAAAGACGAACUUCUGCGAAAGCAUUUGUCAAGGAUGUUUUCAUUAA
rnacentral:rRNA from 1 species